GGUUUCGUAGCUCAGUUGGGAGAGCGCCACCUCGACAAGGUGGAAGUCGGGGGUUCGAGCCCCUCCGAGACCA
rnacentral:tRNA from 2 species